AAAAGACAACUAACACCCAUUACUCUCUCUUUUGUUUCAUUUCCCAGAUUUGUUCCCCUUUCCUCUCUUUUUCUUCUUUUGUUCCUCUCUUUAUCUCUCUCUCUCUCUCUCAUAUUGUUUGUCUGACUUGAAGCUAUGAGCAUAGAAGAGUUUUUGAAGAUCCAGGUGUUUUAUCUUGUGAAUGCGAAAAUAUGCUUUGAAGGUGAACAUUUACUAUGAUGGAUGUAAGCACAAGGUGAAGAAAAUCUUGCAGAAAAUUGAUGGGGGUUUCACUAUCGAGAUAGAUGCAAAACAGGGGAUGGUUCGUCGGAGACUCAGAGGUUUAGAACCAAUAUGGAUAUAUUUAACUUCUAUGUUUUCGCUAUGGAAGGUUGGAACCAUGAGAAAGAUCUGAUGGAGGUUGGCAAAGGCAAGCGGGCAGAGGUUUAGACAGAGCUUGGUAGAAGCGAGUCGAUAGAUCUAAAGCAAAGGCGUGCAGCAACUAGUCCUUCUCCGAGGUUCUGAUUGAUUCGAACAUAUUCGGAUACUCUUCCAACAACAUUGUUCUAAUUCGACGUGUUUCUUAGGUCCUAGAGGAUGGUAGGGAAGAUCAAGUGGUGGAGUAUUUGGAGUGAAGAUUCAAGCUAGAUUUGAAAAUUGAAGAGUUCUUCAAAGGUAUAUCUUCAAAACCCUAUUUUUAGUUUAUGGACUUGCAUGUUUCUAUGCUAAAAUUGAUCAAAUUAGAGUGUUUAAGAUCAUAAUUGCUUCCACUAAUUGAAUGCUAGCUCCAACAAUCUAUGUAUUCCUAUGUUUUUUGAGCAAGAUUGGCAUGUAAUAUGUCUUCAAUAUUUAGCUAGUCACUCUAUAGUGUUGCUAUUUUUCAGUCUUGGUGAGUGUUUUUUUUCCUCAUUUGGAGAUUUGAUGUUUUUUUUCCAUAUGCUAUUUUUUAUGUGUUUGGAAGUUCUUUGUACAAGAUUGGUGUGUAAUGUGUCUUCAGUUUCUAGUUGGACGGUCCAUGGUGUUGAAGUGCUACAUGUUUCCCUUUUGUUUUUGAAAGAAAAUUGUCUAUUGUUACUCUCUAGCAUAUGAAAAUAUUACCAUUUGAUAGUAUUAUUAUGUUAAAAGGUUCAUGGAUUUAAUGUUGGCUAGUUUGGAUAUUUUAUUUUAAUGUUGUUUGUACCUAGCCAAAAUAGACAAACUUCCUUUAGAUAGCUCCAUAAUAUUUAUAGUUGCCUUUGAUUUUACCGUUUUGGUAUCUCAAGCCUUUCAUAUUUUCAACAUUUAAAAGUUAUAAAAAUGAGUUCUUAUUAUGAACUUGCAGAGAAGGGAAGAAUUUAAACUACCCCAUGCCUAGUUUCUUACUAAUUAACGAUCAGUAGUAUAGUUACAUGGCCUUGUGAUAAAAUUUUAAUUAGUACGUAGAUCGAUCUAUCGAUUAUUUUAUUUCUUUAUCUUUUUAUUUCAAUAAUUUUAGUUGAGUUUUUUUUUUCUACUUGAUAUUUUUCUUUUUUUUGUAGGUUGAUGGAUUACCAAUGUAGGCAAUGUCUUGACCACAAACACAAUUAAGUUGGAGUUAUUUAGAUUUUUGAUAUAGACAUAUUUUGUAAUUUAUAAAGUUUGUAUUUUGUUUCAUCUCCAAGUCUAAUACUCAUUACUACAUGUCUCUUUUAUUAGACCAUAUGAAUCUUGUAUG